CCAUUGCAAAGUUUAGCAGGUGUCGUCACACUUCAUGUCUGGACUCCAUGCAUGUUCGACCUACUGUUAUUCCAGGUAAAAACCCUAGCAGUAUCAACUCAUGUGUGCAGACAUGGACAUGAUCCAUUUCGGUUUCAUUUUGCAAGGGAUCAAGCAGUCUCUAUUUUACUAUAUGAGAUGCAAGGGUUGAUCAACCUCUAUCACAUAUGAAUGCACAAGCUGGGUUCCAGCAAUAAGUUAGCCUCUCGUAUUGAUUGAAUUCAUUUCAAUGUUAAUAAGAGAAGCAGGACUUCUAUCUUGGAGUUUGAAAGAAAGUAUGAUUGUCCUUCCGCAUUUACUCUUGUAAUCCUUAUUGUAAGUAUGAUAAUUGGAGAUAGAUAUAUGAAAGUCCUAUUUCGUUUUCUUCAAAA